AGUGAACGCUGGCGGUGGGCCUAACACAUGCAAGUCGAACGGCAGCACAGUAAGAUCUUGCUCUUACGGGUGGCGAGUGGCGGACGGGUGAGGAAUACAUCGGAAUCUACUUUUUCGUGGGGGAUAACGUAGGUAAAUUUACGCUAAUACCGCAUACGCUCUACGGGUGAAAGAAGGGGAUCUUCGGACCUUUCGCGAUUGAAUGAGCCGGUGUCGGAUUAGCUAGUUGGGGGGGUAACGGCCCACCAAGGGGACGAUCCGUAGCUGGUCUGAGAGGAUGAUCGGCCACACUGGAACUGAGACACGGUCAAGACUCCUACGGGAGGCAGCAGUGGGGAAUAUUCGGCAAUGGGCGCAAGCCUGACCCAGCCAUGCCGCGUGGGUGACGAAGGCCUUCGGAUCGUAAAGCCCUUUUAUUGGGAAAGAACAGCUGUCGGAUAAAACGCAGCUGUUUUGACGGUACCUAAAAAAUAAGCACCGGCUAACUUCGUG
rnacentral:rRNA from 1 species